GUAGGGCGCAAGCGUUAUCCGGAAUUAUUGGGCGUAAAGAGCUCGUAGGCGGUUUGUCGCGUCUGCUGUGAAAUCCCGAGGCUCAACUUCGGGUCUGCAGUGGGUACGGGCAGACUAGAGUGCGGUAGGGGAGAUUGGAAUUCCUGGUGUAGCGGUGGAAUGCGCAGAUAUCAGGAGGAACACCGAUGGCGAAGGCAGAUCUCUGGGCCGUAACUGACGCUGAGGAGCGAAAGGGUGGGGAGCAAACAGGCUUAGAUACCCUGGUAGUCCACCCCGUAAACGUUGGGAACUAGUUGUGGGGUCCAUUCCACGGAUUCCGUGACGCAGCUAACGCAUUAAGUUCCCCGCCUGGGGAGUACGGCCGCGAGGCUA
rnacentral:rRNA from 1 species